rnacentral:rRNA from 1 species
AUUGAACGCUAGCGGGAUGCUUUACACAUGCAAGUCGAACGGCAGCGCGGACUUCGGUCUGGCGGCGAGUGGCGAACGGGUGAGUAAUGUAUCGGAACGUGCCCAGUAGCGGGGGAUAACUACGCGAAAGCGUAGCUAAUACCGCAUACGCCCUACGGGGGAAAGCAGGGGAUCGUAAGACCUUGCACUAUUGGAGCGGCCGAUAUCGGAUUAGCUAGUUGGUGAGGUAACGGCUCACCAAGGCGACGAUCCGUAGCUGGUUUGAGAGGACGACCAGCCACACUGGAACUGGGACACGGCCCAGACUCCUACGGGAGGCAGCAUUGGGAAAUUUUGGACAAUGGGGCAACCCUGAUCCAGCCAUCCCGCGUGUGCGAUGAAGGCCUUCGGGUUGUAAAGCACUUUUGGCAGGAAAGAAACGUCGCGGGCUAAUACCCCGUGGAACUGACGGUACCUGCAGAAUAAGCACCGGCUAACUACGUG